AUUGAACGCUGGCGGCAGGCCUAACACAUGCAAGUCGAGCGAGAGGCGGACGGGUGAGUAAUGUAUGGGGACUGCCCGAUAGAGGGGGAGAACUACUGGAAACGGUAGCUAAUACCGCAUACUAUCGGAUAACCCAUAUGGGAUUAGAUAGUUGGUGAGGUAAUGGCUCACCAAGGCGACGAUCCCUAGAUGGUCUGAGAGGAUGACCAGCCACACUGGAACUGAGACACGGUCCAGACUCCUACGGAGGCAGCAGUGGGGAAUAUUGCACAAUGGGCGCAAGCCUGAUGCAGCCAUGCCGCGUGAAUGAAGAAGGCCUUCGGUUUGUAAAGUACUUUCAGCAAGGAGGCGUUACUCGCAGAAGAAGCACCGGCUAACUCCGUGCCAGCAGCCGCGGUAAUUC
rnacentral:rRNA from 1 species